UACGUAGGGGGCAAGCGUUAUCCGGAUUUACUGGGUGUAAAGGGAGCGCAGACGGCAGUGCAAGUCUGGAGUGAAAGCCCGGGGCCCAACCCCGGAACUGCUCUGGAAACUGUGCGGCUAGAGUACUGGAGGGGCAGGCGGAAUUCCUAGUGUAGCGGUGAAAUGCGUAGAUAUUAGGAGGAACACCAGUGGCGAAGGCGGCCUGCUGGACUGCAACUGACGUUGAGGCCCGAAAGCGUGGGGAGCAAACAGG
rnacentral:rRNA from 1 species